UAACAACAAAAAAGCUGUAACCUCAAAUAGGUGGUUUCUUUUAUCUACCAAUUUGUCCAAGCCACGUGGGUAAGGCAGUGGUGACAGCUGGCUCUGUGAAUCUUUGGGGUACAGCAAAGGGGGUCUGGAUGCUGGGAUGGGCGGGGCUUUUGCGUCCAGCCGGCAUUCAGGAGGGAGUGGGCGCCUUUCCCUUCCCAUGACCUCCACCUGUUGGGGCUGGUGCCCUCAAGUAGAUGCCCCGCCCACCACCACUGUGCCCCCCUCACCCUCCAGCCGGCAGCCAGCCAGCCCCCUGACCCCUGACCCCUGUCUCCCUUUCUCCCCGCAGCUGACCACAGUGGCCGAGAAGUCCCGGGUGCUGCAGCUGGAGGAGGAGCUCACCCUGCGACGCGGUGAGAUCGAGGAGCUGCAGCAGUGCCUGCUGCACUCGGGACCCCCGCCCCCGGACCACCCCGACGCCGCCGAGACCCUGCGGCUGCGGGAGCGCCUGCUGUCGGCCAGCAAGGAGCACCAGAGGGAGAGCGGGGUGCUGCGGGAUAAAUACGAGAAGGCCCUGAAGGCCUACCAGGCGGAGGUGGACAAGCUCCGUGCGGCCAACGAGAAGUACGCGCAGGAGGUGGCGGGCCUGAAGGACAAGGUUCAGCAGGCCACCAGCGAGAACAUGGGGCUCAUGGACAACUGGAAAUCCAAGCUGGACUCGCUGGCCUCGGACCACCAGAAGUCCCUGGAGGACCUCAAGGCCACCCUGAACUCGGGCCCAGGCGCCCAGCAGAAGGAGAUCGGCGAGCUGAAGGCGGUGAUGGAGGGCAUCAAGAUGGAGCACCAGCUGGAGCUGGGUAACCUGCAGGCCAAGCAUGACCUGGAGACCGCCGUGCACGUGAAGGAGAAGGAGGCCCUGCGGGAGAAGCUGCAGGAGGCCCAGGAGGAGCUGGCCGGGCUGCAGCGGCACUGGCGGGCCCAGCUGGAGGUGCAAGCCAGCCAGCACCGGCUGGAGCUGCAGGAGGCCCAGGACCAGCGCCGGGACGCCGAGCUGCGCGUGCACGAGCUGGAAAAGCUGGACGUGGAGUACCGGGGCCAGGCGCAGGCCAUCGAGUUCCUCAAGGAGCAGAUCUCGCUGGCCGAGAAGAAGAUGCUGGACUACGAGCGGCUGCAGCGGGCCGAAGCCCAGAGCAAACAGGAGGCUGAGAGGUUGCGGGAGAAGCUCCUGGUGGCCGAGAAC